AUUAGUGGCGGACGGGUGAGUAACAUUUAGGAAUCUGCCUAGUAGUGGGGGAUAGCUCGGGGAAACUCGAAUUAAUACCGCAUACGACCUACGGGUGAAAGGGGGCGCAAGCUCUUGCUAUUAGAUGAGCCUAAAUCAGAUUAGCUAGUUGGUGGGGUAAAGGCCCACCAAGGCGACGAUCUGUAACUGGUCUGAGAGGAUGAUCAGUCACACCGGAACUGAGACACGGUCCGGACUCCUACGGGAGGCAGCAGUGGGGAAUAUUGGACAAUGGGGGCAACCCUGAUCCAGCCAUGCCGCGUGUGUGAAGAAGGCCUUUUGGUUGUAAAGCACUUUAAGCAGGGAGGAGAGGCUAAUGGUUAAUACCCAUUAGAUUAGACGUUACCUGCAGAAUAAGCACCGGCUAACUCUGUGCCAGCAGCCGCGGUAAUACAGAGGGUGCGAGCGUUAAUCGGAAUUACUGGGCGUAAAGCGAGUGUAGGUGGCUCAUUAAGUCACAUGUGAAAUCCCCGGGCUUAACCUGGGAACUGCAUGUGAUACUGGUGGUGCUAGAAUAUGUGAGAGGGAAGUAGAAUUCCAGGUGUAGCGGUGAAAUGCGUAGAGAUCUGGAGGAAUACCGAAUGGCGAAGGCAGCUUCCUGGCAUAAUAUUGACACUGAGAUUCGAAAGCGUGGGUAGCAAACACGGAUUAGAUACCCUGGUAGUCCACGCCGUAAACGAUGUCUACUAGCCGUUGGGGUCCUUGAGACUUUAGUGGCGCAGUUAACGCGAUAAGUAGACCGCCUGGGGAGUACGGCCGCAAGGUUAAAACUCAAAUGAAUUGACGGGGGCCCGCACAAGCGGUGGAGCAUGUGGUUUAAUUCGAUGCAACGCGAAGAACCUUACCUGGUCUUGACAUAGUGAGAAUCCUGCAGAGAUGAGAGAGUGCCUUCGGGAAUUCACAUACAGGUGCUGCAUGGCUGUCGUCAGCUCGUGUCGUGAGAUGUUGGGUUAAGUCCCGCAACGAGCGCAACCCUUUUCCUUAUUUGCCAGCGGGUUAAGCCGGGAACUUUAAGGAUACUGCCAGUGACAAACUGGAGGAAGGCGGGGACGACGUCAAGUCAUCAUGGCCCUUACGACCAGGGCUACACACGUGCUACAAUGGUAGGUACAGAGGGUUGCUACACAGCGAUGUGAUGCUAAUCUCAAAAAGCCUAUCGUAGUCCGGAUUGGAGUCUGCAACUCGACUCCAUGAAGUCGGAAUCGCUAGUAAUCGCAGAUCAGAAUGCUGCGGUGAAUACGUUCCCGGGCCUUGCACACACCGCCCGUCAA
rnacentral:rRNA from 1 species